UACAGAGGGGGCAAGCGUUGUUCGGAAUUACUGGGCGUAAAGGGCGCGUAGGCGGCCUUCUAAGUCGAACGUGAAAUCCCCGGGCUCAACCCGGGAACUGCGUCCGAGACUGGGAGGCUUGAAUCCGGGAGAGGGAUGUGGAAUUCCAGGUGUAGCGGUGAAAUGCGUAGAUAUCUGGAGGAACACCGGUGGCGAAGGCGGCAUCCUGGACCAACACUGACGCUGAGGCGCGAAAGCUAGGGGAGCAAACGGG
rnacentral:rRNA from 1 species